rnacentral:misc_RNA from 1 species
CCUGAGUCUGACGCGCUCAAACUGGGCUGAGAUGAUCGAACAGUCCCUCACGAAGAUUCGGCAGUGAUCAGUGUCAGGCAAACGGUUCCCCUUUGCAGCGCCGCCACGAUAAAAGAUCGGCAGCAGUAUCAGCGUCAAAAGCGUCGAUGAUAGCAACCCGUCGAUCACCACGGCCGAUUACAGAUCGCUCUGCAGGCAAGAAUGCCGGCCCAUCCC